UACGAAGGGGGCUAGCGUUGCUCGGAAUCACUGGGCGUAAAGCGCACGUAGGCGGCUUUCUAAGUCAGAGGUGAAAGCCCGGAGCUCAACUCCGGAACUGCCUUUGAUACUGGAAAGCUUGAGUCCGGGAGAGGUGAGUGGAACUGCGAGUGUAGAGGUGAAAUUCGUAGAUAUCUGGAGGAACACCGGUGGCGAAGGCGGCAUUCUGGACCGAUAUUGACGCUGAGGAGCGAAAGCCAGGGGAGCAAACGGG
rnacentral:rRNA from 1 species